rnacentral:rRNA from 1 species
UGUAAGCGUAUACCAAAGUUGUUGCAGUUAAAACGCUCGUAGUCGGAAUUUGGCAGUUCCGGAAGUGUGCACGUCGUGUGCGCACUUUGCGGGGACUGCUUUUGUGGUCUUGCGUAGGAUGAGGCACUUUCAUUAGUGAACGUCCUCACGCAACCACUCUUUACUGUGAGAAAAUCAGAGUGCUCAAAGCAGGCAUUUGCCGUGAAUGUAUUAGCAUGGAAUAAUAGAAUAGGACUCGGUUCUAUUUUGUUGGUUUGUUGGGACUGAGUAAUGAUUAAGAGGGACAGUUGGGGGCAUUUGUAUUCCGGCGCUAGAGGUGAAAUUCUUAGAUUACCGAAAGACAAACUGCUGCGAAAGCGUCUGCCAAGGAUGUUUUCAUUGA